UGGCUGGAGGGGAUGUCUGGAGGAGCUGGGAAGUAACCAGAUGACUGACAGCGAUUCAGGCUCGAUGCCUUAUGGAGGGGACAGGCGAACAGACCUGCUCCUUCCUUUGUGUUGCCAGUCAGGUCCUCCCUCUGCAGUCUUACACAGGAAGAAGAUUUAUAACAGCUGCAUGCAAUGCCAGUGUCUCAAAGAAACAGUAUCACGCCAUGUGGAGGAUUUUUGUUUGGGGUUUGUUUUCUCCACUGAAUUGGAAAGGCUCUUGGUGGCCUGCUUCUUACCUCCCUGACUAGUGGCAUGUAUUAAAUCAAUGUGUAUAAAGUCACCACUGGAACCCAGUGACAGACCUUGAUUAACUGUGCUUAAUCUAUUCCCACAGAAAAAUGGACCAAAGAAAGUGUUCUAAAACAAGAUAAUAAAAUGUUAUCAUUUCUCCUCUCUCAUUUUAUUAAAUAUGCUCAUCUUCUGUGCAAAGUGAGCCUAUCCAGUUGGCAUCUCUGUGAUGAGACAGAAUGCAUAAGGAAAAAUUGGUUUUGAAACGUAUGUUUACAUAUUCUAUCUGCAAUGGUAAUCUUACUGACAGACAUUUGUCACUGAUCAUUCUGUUGUGG